rnacentral:rRNA from 1 species
GACGAGGGGUCCAAGCGUUGUUCGGAAUCAUUGGGCGUAAAGCGGGUGUAGGUGGCUUUGUAAGUCAGGAGUGAAAUCCCCGAGCUUAACUUGGGAAGUGCUUUUGAAACUACAGGGCUUGAGUGUGGGAGAGGAUCGUGGAAUUCCAGGUGUAGUGGUGAAAUACGUAGAUAUCUGGAGGAACACCGGUGGCGAAGGCGGCGAUCUGGCCCAACACUGACACUGAGACCCGAAAGCGUGGGGAUCAAACAGG